AACAUUUUUUUUAAAGAAAGGAACACCUGAUUGGUGGUGUUGCUCUUAUAUCAAUCAGGGGCAAAGCAGACAUGCAGUCCUUAGUUCAUCCUGAUGUCUGUGUUGGUGGCCAGAGCUGUUUCAUGUCUGAGGCAAAUUU
rfam:Myotis lucifugus cont2.40350, whole genome shotgun sequence.